UACGUAGGGUGCGAGCGUUAAUCGGAAUUACUGGGCGUAAAGCGUGCGCAGGCGGUUCGUUGUGUCCGAUGUGAAAGCCCCGAGCUCAACUUGGGAAUGGCAUUGGAAACUGGCGAGCUGGAGUGUGGCAGAGGGGGGUGGAAUUCCACGUGUAGCAGUGAAAUGCGUAGAUAUGCGGAGGAACACCGAUGGCGAAGGCAAUCCCCUGGGCCUGCACUGACGCUCAUGCACGAAAGCGUGGGGAGCAAACAGG
rnacentral:rRNA from 1 species